rnacentral:rRNA from 1 species
UGGGGAAUUUUCCGCAAUGGGCGCAAGCCUGACGGAGCAAUACCGCGUGAGGGAGGAAGGCUCUUGGGUCGUAAACCUCUUUUCUCAGGGAAGAACACAAUGACGGUACCUGAGGAAUCAGCAUCGGCUAACUCCGUGCCAGCAGCCGCGGUAAUACGGAGGAUGCAAGCGUUAUCCGGAAUGAUUGGGCGUAAAGCGUCCGUAGGUGGUUUUGUAAGUCCGUGGUUAAAGCGCGAAGCUCAACUUCGUAAGGGCCAUGGAAACUACAUAACUUGAGUAAAGUAGGGGUAGAGGGAAUUCCCAGUGUAGCGGUGAAAUGCGUAGAGAUUGGGAAGAACACCGGUGGCGAAAGCGCUCUACUGGACUUAUACUGACACUGAGGGACGAAAGCUAGGGGAGCGAAAGGGAUUAGAUACCCCUGUAGUC